rnacentral:misc_RNA from 1 species
GUUGUGCCCAUGAUAGAACGGGACCUGGUUGUGCUCCUUUCACUCCUUUUCUUCCAUGAAGAAUAUCAUGAAGUGAUCCAUUGGAAGCAUACUCGUAUACUAGUAUGCGGGAACUCCCAUCAACGCAAUAACCAAGCAAUUGAACAAAAUUUCCAUGCUUCAGCCUUGAGACCAUGGAGACCUGUGCUAAAAACUCAUCAUCAGGCUGUUUGCUGGCAUCUAACUUCUUGAUCGCAGCAGGCUGCCCAUUUUUAAGCAUCCCAUAGUAUACUCUCCCAUAUGAAC